UUGAGAAAUCAUUGCACCACUCGUAUAAAUUUGAUGAUAUGGAUCAAAUGUUUCUACCAAACUACCUUAAAAUAGUUACAGGCUACGAGUUCUUUAUUCUUAAGG
rnacentral:ncRNA from 2 species